rnacentral:rRNA from 1 species
AGUGAAGCGGCAACAGCUCAAAUUUGAAAUCUGGCUCUUUCAGGGUCCGAGUUGUAAUUUGUAGAGGGUGCUUUGGCGUUGGCUGCGGUCUAAGUUCCUUGGAACAGGACGUCAUGGAGGGUGAGAAUCCCGUAUGUGGCUGACAGUCUUCGCCGUGUAAAGCCCCUUCGACGAGUCGAGUUGUUUGGGAAUGCAGCUCUAAAUGGGAGGUAAAUUUCUUCUAAAGCUAAAUAUUGGCCAGAGACCGAUAGCGCACAAGUAGAGUGAUCGAAAGAUGAAAAGCACUUUGGAAAGAGAGUCAAAAAGCACGUGAAAUUGUUGAAAGGGAAGCGCUUGCAGCCAGACUUGCCUGUAGUUGCUCAUCCGGGCUCUUGCCCGGUGCACUCUUCUGCAAGCAGGCCAGCAUCAGUUCGAGCGGCCGGAUAAAGACCUCUGUCACGUAUCUUCCUUCGGGAUGACCUUAUAGGGGAGGUGUAAUGCGGCCAGCUCGGAUUGAGGUCCGCGCAUCUGCUAGGAUGCUGGCGUAAUGGCUGUAAGCGGCCCGUCUUGAAACACGGACCAAGGAGUCUAACAUCUAUGCGAGUGUUUGGGUGUCAAGCCCGAGCGCGCAAUGAAAGUGAACGGAGGUGGGAACCCCUCGGGGCGCACCAUCGACCGAUCCUGAUGUCUUCGGAUGGAUUUGAGUAAGAGCAUAGCUGUUGGGACCCGAAAGAUGGUGAACUAUGCCUGAAUAGGGUGAAGCCAGAGGAAACUCUGGUGGAGGCUCGCAGCGGUUCUGACGUGCAAAUCGAUCGUCAAAUUUGGGCAUAGG